AUGCUGGGCGGCGGGGCGCGGAGGGGGGCGGGCCACGAGGAGGGGGAGCUCGAGCUCGAGGACAGCCAGGCGUUGGGCGGCGACGGCGGCAGCCCGGACGCGGGCGGCCACGAGCUCCUUGAUCCCGACUCGCUCACAUACAUCGAUGAAAGACUUCAAAAUGUGUUGGGUCAUUUCCAGAAGGACUUUGAAGGUGGAGUGCUUGCUGAAAACUCGGGGUCACUAUAUGGGGGUUAUGGUUCAUUCUUGCCUCCGAACCAGCAUUCCCCUUCUGUCGCAACUCAAUCUAGAAGCCCUGCAGUUCCACCAAACCGUGGCAGUGCCUCUAGAUCACCUUAUGUUCCAGUGGAGAGUGCACAGAAGAGCCAUUUUGUUAAGAAUGGAUUAGAUAGCAGGGGAAAGGAUGAUUAUUGUCAAAGAACAUCCAAUGGAACAAAUGGUAAUCCUCAGCAACGGAUGUUGAACAGAGCAGUGAAUGGUCCUGAACAAAAGGCGCCGAAAAUACAUAUCAAGGUGAACAACAAUAGACACUUGGCAAGAAAUACUGCUGCUAUCUACAGUGGUCUGGGCCUCGACAUUUCCCCUUCCUCUUCUAUGGAUGACAGCCUUGAUGGGUGCGCCGGGGCUCCUGAGCCGAAAAAUCUGCCCGACGAAUCUCCGCAUACCAUUUUGCAGAUAAUGACCUGCCAUCCUAUUCCUGGAGGACUCUUGCUUUCACCCCUUACAGAAAAUAUUCUGGCACUGAGAAAGAAGUCAGCAUCUGCAAGAAAGAAACACGAAGCACCUGCAUUUGAUGAUGACAAAACAGAAUUAAACCGAGACUGGUGUCAUACGACCUCUGCUGCACAAGGUGACCAAGGUCAGAUGGUGCAUAAAUAUAACUAUGAUGAAAAGAAGGAUCACCUUCUGAAUAUUAAGAGUUCAAAAAGCAAGCGUGACAAUUCAACGAUUAUGAAUAAUGGGACUAUGCCUGAUUUAUUGGAUAUUUCAGAUGAUCAAGAUUCAAUUGUACCUGGAAGUAUACAGACAGAACAACAUUCACUUGAGGCAUCAGCAAAAUUGGUGCCUGAUGUUUCAAAUCAUCUGAAUCUGAAGGAAACAAAGAAUGUUCCACUGAAAGGACGAAUUAGGGACAAGAUCCCUUUGAGAGAUAUUGAGUCAGUACAUGUAAAAGCUGUUAAUUUGGCAAAUGAUGGUAAUCACCCUAAGGGUAAAGCAAAUUCAGAAGCAUGUACAGCGAGAAAUAGCUUUGACAACUUGAGCAAGGACAGUAAGACAGAACCUACACUUGGUCAAGGACUUGUUGAUAAAGUCAAAUAUGAUUCUGAUGGAUACGAUCAUCGACUUUCUGCAACUUCAAGUCAACCAAACAAUCUUCCUCCUAGUGGUACUGCUACAUCAGCUGACAGAGACAAAAGAAAAGUGGUGCAUGUAAAAGAUGAACCAUCACAGUGCAAAAGGGAGGAAUCGGGGAGUCUAGUUAAUGCAGAUUCCAUGGAUAUUAUCACCGAAAAUGUAGGUGGAAAUCCUUCUGGAAUGCCGAAACGAAAAAUGAAAAUUUCCUCAUUGCAAACUGCUCCGUCCGGGAAGAAGCUCAAGGUUAAAGCACACAAGCAAUUGAGCAAUGGCAUCACUCGAAAAUCUCAUGGUGAAGAUAAGAGUGUGAAGCCUGAGAAGGAGACUGUUUCAUCCGGAGAAACUGAUAAUGGCAGGUCGGAUGGUGUAAAUGAUGGUGACCACAAGAUAUCUCACUUGAAUUUUGACAGAUCAGCUCCUGUGCCAUCAGCAUGCAUGACUGGAGCUAUGGAAUCAUCUGUGGCAGUGCCUGUGGAACCUGUUUUAAUAAACGAACAGUGGGUAUGUUGUGAUAAGUGUGAGAAAUGGCGCCUUUUACCCUAUUGGAUGAAUCCAGAUAUACUUCCAAAAAAAUGGCGGUGUAACAUGCAGAGUUGGUUGCAUGGAAUGAAUAACUGCAAAAUAAGCGAGGAUGAGACCACAAAAGCCCUUCGUGCAAUGCCCCCUGCACCUGAAAAUAAUAUUAGUGUGGAUGUUUGCCAUGAUAUUGCUACAUCAGGUGUAUGCGCAGCUACGAUUCCACCAACUAUCCAGGGCGAUAUAAAAUCCAUCGCUACAUCAGGGACACUGAAAGUUGAUUCCAGUGCAAAUACAUCAAAUAAUUUAAAGAUGGGUGAGAUGUCAAAAUCUUCGAAGAAGCUAGAGGCUCCUACAAGUAGAAAUCCUGAUGAUGUUGACUGCUUCCCUAAACAGAAGGGAAAACGGAAGCACAUAGGAUCGUCAGAUGAUGGUGAAACUGUUGCGGUAGACCGGCUGCAUCCAGAAUCGAAGAGCAGCCGUGUAGGGUUUGAUCAUGAUAGCCUUAGGGCAUCAAAGAAAAUGAACAAGGAACCUAAUGAGCCAGCCAAGCAUCAUCCCUCUGAGUUUGAGAUUAGCAAAAGCAGUCCUUCAGUCAAGGGAACUCCAAAAAGCUUACAUCGGUAUAGUGGUGUUUCACCUAGCACGGGAAAGUAUGGUUCAUCUUCAUUAGUUAAGUGCAAUGAUGAUAAAAUUAUCUCAAAUGGGGGCAUCAGGACUUCAGAUGUAGGACGAUCCGAUGUUCCAGAAUUGUCCAUUAAGAAUAGAAAAUCGAAACAAAGGCAACUAAGCAAGCGUGGUCCUGACCCUAUAGUUAGCAAUGCCCUUCCGAAGCAUACUGUGGAAGAAGCUUUAAGUGAAAGUAAUCAUGCCAAGGAAAACCCUAUGCCAGAGCUGAAUUUUUUGAAGGCAGCUGAUAGGAAAGUUGCCCAUGCCAGAGGCCCCAUUGCUGGAACUGAUAGUGACAAAGAGUGUUUAAGUGAGCAACACCAAGAGAAUACUCAUCUCCAGCAGCAUUCACUGCUCUCUCAAAACUCCAUGAAGAAAAAUAUGUGUUAUGCACAAGCAUCUGCAGCUGCUACCUCCAGUUCAUCUAAGGUGUCUAGCUCCCACAAGAGUAAAGUUGAUUUUCAAGAAACAAGGGCCUCUCCUGUAGAGUCAGUUUCUUCUUCACCCUUGAGAACUACGGAUAAGAAUCUUGUGGAUCAGCAUAAAAGGUAUCCAAGUGCAGUUGCAGAAAAAGUACUUUCUCAAGAAUCAGGGAAAAGCUGUUUGUCAUUUUCCAAGGAAAAAAAUGAUUUUGGAUCUGGUUCCGAUCAUGCUAAGGCUCAUGGUUCUGGCUGCCUCAGUGGAGAUAUGCAUCAUCAUGUUUUGAAGGAUGGGGAGUUGCAGAAGGAUAAACAAGACAAUGAAUGCUCAAAAAAUGAUGAUUCCGAACUUGGUACAAGGAAUGGUCUGCUGAAUCCAGUAAAGGUACAGAAAGUUAAUUCACAUGUCCUUUCAAUACGUGGCAAUGGUGAUGACAAACUGCCACCAUCCCUUCAAAACGGGAAAACAUCACCUCAUCUUAAUUCAAACCAAUGUGACCAUGCAAAGUUGACUUCUGGGAAACAUCCAGUACAGGUUAAGCCUGAUAAAGGGGAUGCAGAACAGAAGGAUAUGAAAACAAAUCCAUCAACUGUUAAAGGAAGCAAGCAGCAUCCAGCAUUAAAUGAUUCAUCAAAUGGCGAUCUUUCGUACAAGGCAAAGCAACUAAAGAAGGCUGUUCUCGAAAAUACAAAACAAGCAACUCUUAGUCGUGAUGCUUUGAAUCCAGUAAACACAUCUGUGCUACUGAAGGAGGCUCGGGAUUUGAAGCACUUGUCUAAACGUUUAAAGGAAAAGGGAGAUGACCUUGAGAGUGCUAACAUGUGCUUUGAGGCUGGCCUGAAAUUUCUCCAUGUUGCAUCUCUGUUGGAAGCUCCGAGUAUUGAUAGCUCCAAGCAAGGGGAUUCUAUACAAGCUAUUAGACUAUAUUCUGAAACAGGAAACCUCUGUGGAUUUUGUGCCCGUGAAUUUGAGCGACUUAAGAAAAUGGCAAGUGCUGCUUUGGCCUAUAAAUGUGUGGAAGUGGCAUAUAUGAAGGCUGCCUUCUACAAGCAUCCUGGUGCUAUUAAAGAUAAACAUGCAUUGCAAGCAACAUCUUUGAUGGUUCCUCCAGCUGAGUCACCGUCAUCUUCUGCCUCAGAUGUUGAUAAUCUGAAUAACCAGAGUACAGCUGCUAAGGCUAUUUCAAGAGCUUUGUACUCUCCUAAAAUUGGUGGCAAUUCCAUACCCCGGAACAAUCAUCACUUGAUGGGGUUGCUUGCUUAUGCAGAUGACAUAAAUUAUGCAUUUGAUGGAACCAGAAAAUCACAAAGUUCAUUAGCUGCUUAUGUUACUGAUAUGGGAAAUGGUCAGGCUGAGGGUAUUGCUCUUGUUAGGGAAGUCCUUGAAUUCAGUUUUCACAAUGUCAAGGGCCUGCUACAACUGAUUCGCCAUUCAUUGGAAUCUAUCAACCAUGAAAGUGUUAAAUAA
rnacentral:rRNA from 1 species